UACGGGGGGGGCAAGCGUUGUUCGGAAUUACUGGGCGUAAAGGGCUCGUAGGCGGCCAACUAAGUCAGACGUGAAAUCCCUCGGCUUAACCGGGGAACUGCGUCUGAUACUGGAUGGCUUGAGUUCGGGAGAGGGAUGCGGAAUUCCAGGUGUAGCGGUGAAAUGCGUAGAUAUCUGGAGGAACACCGGUGGCGAAGGCGGCAUCCUGGACCGGCAUUGACGCUGAGGCGCGAAAGCUAGGGGAGCAAACGGG
rnacentral:rRNA from 1 species